rnacentral:rRNA from 1 species
GACGAACGCUGGCGGCGUGCCUAACACAUGCAAGUCGAACGAAGCAUUUAAGUGAAUCCCUUCGGGGUGAAGCUUUUAUGACUUAGUGGCGGACGGGUGAGUAACGCGUGAGUAACCUGCCUUUCAGAGGGGGAUAACAGUUGGAAACGUCUGCUAAUACCGCAUAAUGUUAUUUGGGGGCAUCCCUGAAUAACCAAAGCUUUAUGUGCUGAAAGAUGGUCUCGCGUCUGAUUAGCUAGAUGGCGGGGUAACGGCCCACCAUGGCGACGAUCAGUAGCCGGUCUGAGAGGAUGAACGGCCACCAUUGGGACUGAGAUACGGCCCAG